UGGGGAAUCUUGCACAAUGGGGGCAACCCUGAUGCAGCGACGCCGCGUGAGCGAUGAAGCCCUUCGGGGCGUAAAGCUCUUUCGACCGGAACGAUAAUGACGGUACCGGGAGAAGAAGCCCCGGCUAACUACGUGCCAGCAGCCGCGGUAAUACGUAGGGGGCAAGCGUUGUCCGGAUUUACUGGGUGUAAAGGGUGCUCAGGCGGAUUUGUAAGUCAGAGGUGAAAUCUUACAGCUUAACUGUGAAACUGCCUUUGAUACUGCAAGCCUAGAGUAUGGAAGAGAGUGAUGGAAUAUCUGGUGUAGCAGUGAAAUGCGUAGAUAUCAGAUAGAACACCAAUGGCGAAGGCAGUCACUUGGUCCAUUACUGACGCUAAAGCACGAAAGCGUGGGUAGCAAACA
rnacentral:rRNA from 1 species